ACUAAUCGCAGCGAUUGCGUUGGAAUCCAUCGCCAACCCUCCAUAGGAAUAAUUCUAAAAUUAGGAAAAUCUCAAAUACGAAAAAGAAGGAUCACGUGGCCAAGUAUCUGAAGAACAGCGAGAUUCACAUGGGAGCAGGGAGAUUAAUCCAACGACAGUUGCACCAGCUCACGCUUCUAGAAUUGGUCUCCAUUUCAAACGCUUCUUACGAGGGAUUUCUUCCUUCCCUCACCAAAGAGAACGGGAAGCAGUUAAGCUUGUGAAUUUGCCCAAUUUAUCUCUGGAUGUUCUCAGGCUACAGGAUUUUCCUCUCGAACAAAAGGUCUUUUCGUUUUCUAUUCCGAGAGAGAGAUGGACUAAAGAGUUGUUUAAGCUACAAGGUGGAUAGUCCUAAUUCCUUGAAUUAACAGAGUUUGUUUAUAGUGGAAUCGGGGUUUGAGGUCAGUAUUUAUAGAUGGGUUCUUCACAAGAUCUACCUUGUCACCAAACGUGGCGGGACUUGUUGAUGGUUCAACGAAAAGAGAGAUUUCGUAUGUUGAUUCUUUGCCUAUUUAUGUUAACGAGCUCAUUGCUGGAGGGCUGCUGGGGCCUUUGCUAAGACUGCUGUCGCACCCUUGGAACGGAUAAA